GCCUGGGUGGCUCAGUGGUUAAGCGUCUGACUUUGGCUCAGGUCAUGAUCUCGCGGUCCGUGGGUUCGAGCCCCGCAUCAGGUU
rnacentral:tRNA from 1 species